AACCUGCCUGGUAGCGGGGGAUAACUAUUGGAAACGAUAGCUAAUACCGCAUAACAGUAGAUAUUGCAUGAUAUCUGCUUGAAAGGGGCAAUUGCUCCACUACCAGAUGGACCUGCGUUGUAUUAGCUAGUUGGUGAGGUAACGGCUCACCAAGGCGACGAUACAUAGCCGACCUGAGAGGGUGAUCGGCCACACUGGGACUGAGACACGGCCCAG
rnacentral:rRNA from 1 species